UACGUAGGGUGCGAGCGUUGUCCGGAAUUAUUGGGCGUAAAGAGCUCGUAGGCGGUCUGUUGCGUCCGCUGUGAAAGCCCGGGGCUUAACCCCGGGUCGGCAGUGGAUACGGGCAGGCUAGAGGUAGGUAGGGGAGAAUGGAAUUCCCGGUGUAGCGGUGAAAUGCGCAGAUAUCGGGAGGAACACCGGUGGCGAAGGCGGUUCUCUGGGCCUUACCUGACGCUGAGGGGCGAAAGCGUGGGGAGCGAACAGG
rnacentral:rRNA from 1 species